rnacentral:rRNA from 1 species
UACGUAGGAGACGAGCGUUGUCCGGAGUUACUGGGCGUAAAGGGUGCGCAGGUGGCGGCGCGCGUGGGGGGUGAAAUCGCCCGGCUUAACUGGGCGGGGGCCUUCCAGACGGCGUGGCUUGAGCAGCGGAGGGGGACGUGGAAUUCCGGGUGGAGCGGUGAAAUGCGUAGAGAUCCGGAGGAACACCGACGGCGCAGGCAGCGUCCUGGCCGCGACCUGACACUGAGGCACGAAAGCUGGGGGAGCAAACAGG